rnacentral:piRNA from 1 species
UGUGCUCCCACCGGGAAGAGUCCUUCAUGU